CAUAAAUGUGACGCAUUAAAAUGUCUAACUUAUUCAAGUAUUCAGUAAACUAUUUAAAUAGAUUUAAACAUUCUGUACGUAUGGGCCUGUCCCAAGUCAGGAGACUGCAACUCAGUGGUUGUCGUUUGUCAAUGUGUUAUAUUUUUGUUUUUCGUUCAUUUAAAAAAAAUGUACAUAAAUAAGGCCGUUAGUUUUCUUGUUUGAGUUGUUUUACAUUGUCAUUUCGGGGCCUUUUAUAGUCGACUAUGCGGUAUUGGCUUUGCUCAUUGUUGAAGGCCGUACGUUAACCUAUAGUUGUAAAUUUCUGUGUCAUCUUGGUCUCUUGUGGAGAGUUGUCUCAUUGGCAAUCAUACCACAUCUUUUUUUAUAUAGUAAAACUUUUUUGGUCGACUAAUCUACUAUGGUUACUAGAAGAGCAAAAUCAAUUAUCAAAAAUUUAGAUCACGACCUUGACCUUGGCCAUGACCUCAAAUUUCUGCCGGG
rnacentral:lncRNA from 1 species